GUACAAGCAGUGGGAGCACGCUUAGGCGUGUGACUGCGUACCUUUUGUAUAAUGGGUCAGCGACUUAUAUUCUGUAGCAAGGUUAACCGAAUAGGGGAGCCGAAGGGAAACCGAGUCUUAACUGGGCGUUAAGUUGCAGGGUAUAGACCCGAAACCCGGUGAUCUAGCCAUGGGCAGGUUGAAGGUUGGGUAACACUAACUGGAGGACCGAACCGACUAAUGUUGAAAAAUUAGCGGAUGACUUGUGGCUGGGGGUGAAAGGCCAAUCAAACCGGGAGAUAGCUGGUUCUCCCCGAAAGCUAUUUAGGUAGCGCCUCGUGAAUUCAUCUCCGGGGGUAGAGCACUGUUUCGGCAAGGGGGUCAUCCCGACUUACCAACCCGAUGCAAACUGCGAAUACCGGAGAAUGUUAUCACGGGAGACACACGGCGGGUGCUAACGUCCGUCGUGAAGAGGGAAACAACCCAGACCGCCAGCUAAGGUCCCAAAGUCAUGGUUAAGUGGGAAACGAUGUGGGAAGGCCCAGACAGCCAGGAUGUUGGCUUAGAAGCAGCCAUCAUUUAAAGAAAGCGUAAUAGCUCACUGGUCGAGUCGGCCUGCGCGGAAGAUGUAACGGGGCUAAACCAUGCACCGAAGCUGCGGCAGCGACGCUUAUGCGUUGUUGGGUAGGGGAGCGUUCUGUAAGCCUGCGAAGGUGUGCUGUGAGGCAUGCUGGAGGUAUCAGAAGUGCGAAUGCUGACAUAAGUAACGAUAAAGCGGGUGAAAAGCCCGCUCGCCGGAAGACCAAGGGUUCCUGUCCAACGUUAAUCGGGGCAGGGUGAGUCGACCCCUAAGGCGAGGCCGAAAGGCGUAGUCGAUGGGAAACAGGUUAAUAUUCCUGUACUUGGUGUUACUGCGAAGGGGGGACGGAGAAGGCUAUGUUGGCCGGGCGACGGUUGUCCCGGUUUAAGCGUGUAGGCUGGUUUUCCAGGCAAAUCCGGAAAAUCAAGGCUGAGGCGUGAUGACGAGGCACUACGGUGCUGAAGCAACAAAUGCCCUGCUUCCAGGAAAAGCCUCUAAGCAUCAGGUAACAUCAAAUCGUACCCCAAACCGACACAGGUGGUCAGGUAGAGAAUACCAAGGCGCUUGAGAGAACUCGGGUGAAGGAACUAGGCAAAAUGGUGCCGUAACUUCGGGAGAAGGCACGCUGAUAUGUAGGUGAAGUCCCUCGCGGAUGGAGCUGAAAUCAGUCGAAGAUACCAGCUGGCUGCAACUGUUUAUUAAAAACACAGCACUGUGCAAACACGAAAGUGGACGUAUACGGUGUGACGCCUGCCCGGUGCCGGAAGGUUAAUUGAUGGGGUCAGCGCAAGCGAAGCUCUUGAUCGAAGCCCCGGUAAACGGCGGCCGUAACUAUAACGGUCCUAAGGUAGCGAAAUUCCUUGUCGGGUAAGUUCCGACCUGCACGAAUGGCGUAAUGAUGGCCAGGCUGUCUCCACCCGAGACUCAGUGAAAUUGAACUCGCUGUGAAGAUGCAGUGUACCCGCGGCAAGACGGAAAGACCCCGUGAACCUUUACUAUAGCUUGACACUGAACAUUGAGCCUUGAUGUGUAGGAUAGGUGGGAGGCUUUGAAGUGUGGACGCCAGUCUGCAUGGAGCCGACCUUGAAAUACCACCCUUUAAUGUUUGAUGUUCUAACGUUGACCCGUAAUCCGGGUUGCGGACAGUGUCUGGUGGGUAGUUUGACUGGGGCGGUCUCCUCCUAAAGAGUAACGGAGGAGCACGAAGGUUGGCUAAUCCUGGUCGGACAUCAGGAGGUUAGUGCAAUGGCAUAAGCCAGCUUGACUGCGAGCGUGACGGCGCGAGCAGGUGCGAAAGCAGGUCAUAGUGAUCCGGUGGUUCUGAAUGGAAGGGCCAUCGCUCAACGGAUAAAAGGUACUCCGGGGAUAACAGGCUGAUACCGCCCAAGAGUUCAUAUCGACGGCGGUGUUUGGCACCUCGAUGUCGGCUCAUCACAUCCUGGGGCUGAAGUAGGUCCCAAGGGUAUGGCUGUUCGCCAUUUAAAGUGGUACGCGAGCUGGGUUUAGAACGUCGUGAGACAGUUCGGUCCCUAUCUGCCGUGGGCGCUGGAGAACUGAGGGGGGCUGCUCCUAGUACGAGAGGACCGGAGUGGACGCAUCACUGGUGUUCGGGUUGUCAUGCCAAUGGCACUGCCCGGUAGCUAAAUGCGGAAGAGAUAAGUGCUGAAAGCAUCUAAGCACGAAACUUGCCCCGAGAUGAGUUCUCCCUGACUCCUUGAGAGUCCUGAAGGAACGUUGAAGACGACGACGUUGAUAGGCCGGGUGUGUAAGCGCAGCGAUGCGUUGAGCUAACCGGUACUAAUGAACCGUGAGGCUUAACCUUACAACGCCGAAGCUGUU
rnacentral:rRNA from 1 species